AAAUGAGCAUGAAGGGAUCUCUAAGCUAAUAAAGUUUUAUUAGAAUGUGUGUAUGGUAAUAUAGAAAUUAACUUACUUUUACUUGAGUGGUUAUUAAUUAAUUACAAACAUAGGAAAGGAGAGAAAUUGGUCAAGAGCCUGGAUAUUGGAGUAAAAAUUUCAGGAUUGAGAUUGACCAUUGGUGUCUAUUGGUUAAUGCCUUUGAUUGGACUUCUCAUCUUUGAUCCUAACUUCCUUGUAGCAUCAUCAAAAUGAUUGGGGACCCAGCUUUUAAUCAGUACAGAUAUCCAACAGACAAUGGAUUAUAAGAUGAAAAUAUAAUGUUGGUUAACAGUUUGGGGUGUCAGUGCAUGGUCAAUAUGUUCCUUUGUUUUGGAAUUUUAGUAAGAGAAUACAUCAGAAGAAAGGUUAAUGGCACCCAGGAAAGGGGAUAGAAAGGACUAGGGUCCCCUCAGUAUCUCCUUCCAGGACUUCUCCUUUGUGACUUAAGUUCCUUCAGCUAGUUGUCUCUUCCUAAAGUUCUACCAUGCCUCAGUAAUUACAUGGUCUAGCAAGGAAGUCUUCAACACCUGAAGCCUGUAACCAGAGCCACAGUGACCAAAUUAACCUGUUUGUUGUAUUAAAAUUUCCUUUUAUUUUACAUGUAUGGGUGCUUUGCAUGAACAUUUUUUUUUGCACCACACACACGUGUGUCUUGGAUCCACAGAAUCAAGAAGAUGGUGUCAAAUACUUUGGAACUGCAGUUAUAGACAUAUGUGAGCCACCACAUGGGUGCUGGGGAUUUAACCUGGGUCCUCUGGGAAAAAGGUCCAUGUUCCUGUUAGCCAUACCUCCAGGCUCUUGUUUACGUUCUCAUGGAAACCCCUAGCAGCCACAACUCAUAUUGCCUUUGAAUGUGCCAUUGGUUCUUCUCUCUUGGUGUUGUUUCUUCUGUGAGACCCUCAUGCCAGAAGCCCUGGAGUAUAGUCCUAGACUUCUGGGAUUCUUUACUCACACUUUAGAUAUACAUCUGAUUCUGCUCCUCAGCUCAUGACUUCUCUUCCCUUAUGGUGUUUAUUCUUACAUCUGUAUGUCCAAAGCCCAACUAUUUUUGAGAGCUUAGCUAAAAGCACUGGUUCAUUUGAUUACUCUCUAAAAUUGGGUGUUAGAUUUUUUUUCUACUUCUGAGCUUUUGCAGCAUCUAAGUGUUUUCCAUUCUGUGUUAUAGCUUCUUAAAUAUGAAAUUUUAUCUGCUAGACUUCCAGUGUGGAGAUGCACCAAUCUUUCUAUAUUGCAUACAGCACGCAAAGUUUUGGUGCACAGAAGAUGAAUAAAUACCCACUAUAUGGAUUAAUCUUGUUUAAAUACAAUUUAAAAGAAAAUACAAUGUUUUCGAAUCUAUUUGUAAUAAUUAUUAUUGUCAAAACAAAGAAUGCAUAUAAAACUAAGUGAUAUAAAAUAUAUCAGCUGUAUGAACCAAAUUUUAUUAAAUUAAAUUGUCUUAUUUAUUAUCACUUCAUUUAUGUCUAUAAUAUUGACCAUCCAUAUAUCUCUAUUUAUCUAUCUGUCUGUAACUAUCUAUUUAUCUAUCUAAACAAAAAUUUAUCUUACUAUUGCCAUCUAUUGCAAAAGACAAAUUAGAUGUUGACAGUAUUCAUUUUUGUGUAAUAUGAUGGAGAAGUUUUUAAUUUUUUUUUUUUUGCAUACCAUGCCCUUCCUGCCAAUAUGCACUCUAGUCCGUUGGAGCUGUAAGCUAAAAAAAUUCUCUCUUAUAAAUUACUUCAGAGACAAAAAAAGUGAUCAAUACAGUUAUUUUUCAAUCUUCUAGAAAUACCAGCCACAACAGAAAAUACCAGCAAAAUAAAUUUGCCAGUCUUAGAUAAUUGUCUUAGUAUACAUGGUGGCUCAUUUUUAAAUCUUUGUGUUUAUGUUUGCAUAAACAUUUUUGAGAGUGUGUACAACCACGUUUGCAAGCAGAUACAUGUUGCAGCCAGAGGUUAGCAUCAAAGUAUCUUUCCUUUGCCAUUGUCCCAUCUUAAUCUGUUUGUUUGAGGCUGCAUCUCUCAGUGAACCUGAAGUUCCAAGUUUGUAUAGACUUGCUGGCCAGUGAGUGUCUGGGGGUUUUCCUGUACUUCUUUGCUAGAGCUAGGAUUCCAGGGACCAUGCCCAGCUUUUUAUGUAAAUUCUUCCCUCCUGCACUCAGGAUCUCAUACUUGCAGGUUCUUAGCCCACCAUGUCAUCUCAUUAGACUCUUUAACUCUAAUUCUAAUACAGUGUUUGUCAAUCUAUGGUUCAUGGCCCCUUUGGCAAACAUUUAUCUCCAAACAUAUUUGCAUCAAAAGCCAUGAUAGUAUCAAAAUUACAGUUAGGAAGUAGCAACAAAAAUCAAUUUAUUCUGAUUGAGAGAACACCACAAAAUGUAGAACUGUAUUCAAGUGUUGCAAUACCAGGGAUGCUCAGAACCACUGUUCUAAUGGAUCAACUUUACAAUUAUAAAAGUUCAGAAUUACAGCAUAAACAAUUAUAUAAAAUUAAGGUGACCUAGAAACUUAGUAGCUGUAUUUCUACUUUCAAACAGUUAAAUUUAGAUUAAGUAGUUAAAUAGAGUGACUAGACCUAAGAGAUCUGCCCUUGAUAGUGAUUUUAGGGUUGUUGUGCUGAGACAGAAGAGGGAAUGUUUCUUUCUUCCUUCUCUAUUGUAAGCACAAUAACUAGUUGUUAAACUUGGGAAAUCUUAGUGUGAAUGAACAACACAUAAUAUCUAAUAAGAAAUCAUAAAUGAAUUACUGAGUAUUUCCAUACAGAAAAAUUUGUAAAUCUACUCUUAAGUAUGAUAUAAGCAUGCUGAAAUUAAAAGCACAUAG
rnacentral:lncRNA from 1 species